UCCCUGUUUGCUUCUGGGUUAGGCCCAAAAACAUUCAACUUGUGGACGUCACUCCCACCGCAGCGCCUCGUUGUGCACACUGGAACUAUUCUUGCCGCCCUGGUGACAUAAUGGAGCAUCUCAGACUUACACGUGUGCCAUGAGGAAGAGGGGCUACAAGGCGGCGUGUAUGGAGUCAGCAUCCUACAAUACUACAAUAGUACAUCCUCUACACAAUAUUAUUAGUGAAGAGUGUACCCCCACUCAACACACUGGCUGGAAACUGAGAGUGAAACCGUCACAAGGGCCGUUAAAGGCCAUCACCUUCCGGGGUGGGGAGAAAAAACCAAGGAGGUGAGACUUUCAGCUUUUCUGGAAUAGUCUUGAUUGGCCAACACUAUAAAAUGAAUUAGGGAAGUAAAGUGGUGUAAAAUGCAAGUUCCCUGUUCUUAACUGCUGCAAAUCAACCUUCACCGGCACGUAGUGAUGUUUAGCUACAAUAAAUGUCCUCCUGCAGGUAAAAGUACACAACAAUCCAUUCUAUUUAAAGAACAUGCUGAACCUUUGACCUCCACCACUGAGAAAUGAACUCUAGAAUAUACAGAGUGGCUGGCCAACCAAAAUGACACCAGGAAGCGCAGCGACAACUCAUCCAAGAGGUCACAAAAGACCCCACAACAAGAUCCACAGAACUGCAGGCCUCAUUUGCCUGAGUUAAGGGUAGUUACUGAUGUCACCAAUGCUGAUCCAAAGUGAAAGUGGUGGAGGUGUUAGUGGAGCUUCCUGAGCGAGUCCAGCAGGUUUCAUGGAAGGAAAACGUCUAAGUUUGUGAAGAAAACAAAGCCAGCAAUGGAGGCGGGCGGUCAUUGUAUCUGUUGGCCUCCGAGUUUUCCUGUUAUUCAUCCUCCAUUUACAAGAAGCAAAUGUGAGGAAGUGACGACAAGAAGGCAAACAAACCGCCUUUUAUUCACAUUUAUACACAUGGAAAAUCAAAACAUGGAGGAGGCACAAAAACAACCCAGUAUGGAAAGAAGUUACAGUGUAUAUAUUUAAAAUUAUGGUUUUCUGUGUGUGUGUAAUUUUAUUACUGCAAUGUUUUUCGACCCAAUAAAAAAAGAAGCAAAAAUAAAAUGACGGCAUAUGCACCUCAUAUAGCAAUAUGAGCUAAUGCUUUUCAUAUCUCAGAUAAAAGCAACCUUAUUUGGGCAAGAAUCCCUUACAAGCACAGCUGUCCAAAAUGUGGCACAGGGGCCAUUUGGGUCCCUCAGAUUGUUUUUUUUUUUUUAUUGGCCUGCGGCACAUACUCUGUUACUACCUCAAUCGUAUUUAUUUAUUUAACCCCAA